GGAGGAGUACCCAAGAGGCUGAAGGGGCUGGCUUGGAAAGCUAGUAGGCCGCUAACCCGGCGCAGGGGUUCAAAUCCCCUCUCCUCCGCCA
rnacentral:tRNA from 1 species